GCGCGCAAAUUACCCAAUCCCGACACGGGGAGGUAGUGACAAUAAAUACUGAUACAGGGCUCUUUUGGGUCUUGUAAUUGGAAUGAGUACAAUUUAAAUCCCUUAACGAGGAACAAUUGGAGGGCAAGUCUGGUGCCAGCAGCCGCGGUAAUUCCAGCUCCAAUAGCGUAUAUUAAAGUUGUUGUGGUUAAAAAGCUCGUAGUUGAACCUUGGGCCUGGCUGGCCGGUCCGCCUCACCGCGUGUACUGGUCCGGCCGGGCCUUUCCCUCUGUGGAACCCCAUGCCCUUCACUGGGUGUGGCGGGGAAACAGGACUUUUACUUUGAAAAAAUUAGAGUGCUCCAGGCAGGCCUACGCUCGAAUACAUUAGCAUGGAAUAAUAGAAUAGGACGUGUGGUUCUAUUUUGUUGGUUUCUAGGACCGCCGUAAUGAUUAAUAGGGACAGUCGGGGGCAUCAGUAUUCAAUUGUCAGAGGUGAAAUUCUUGGAUUUAUUGAAGACUAACUACUGCGAAAGCAUUUGCCAAGGAUGUUUUCAUUAAUCAGGAACGAAAGUCAGGGGAUCGAAGACGAUCAGAUACCGUCGUAGUCUUAACCAUAAACUAUGCCGACUAGGGAUCGGACGAUGUUAUUUUUUGACUCGUUCGGCACCUUACGAGAAAUCAAAGUGCUUGGGCUCCAGGGGGAGUAU
rnacentral:rRNA from 1 species